AACGGGAAAAAUGGGACUAGGAAAAAUGGCUGGCUCGUCCCAUUUUCCCCCGUUUUUCUACCAUUUUUCUCCCAUUUCUCUCCCAUUUCCCCCAAUUUUUCUCCCACUUUGAAAGUUGUUCAUAAA
rnacentral:ribozyme from 16 species